GAUGAACGCUGGCGGUAGGCUUAACACAUGCAAGUCGAACGCCCCGCAAGGGGAGUGGCAGACGGGUGAGUAACGCGUGGGAACGUACCCCAAGAUUCGGAACAACGCCGGGAAACUGGCGCUAAUACCGGAUGUGACCGUGAGGUGAAAGAUUUAUCGCCUUGGGAUCGGCCCGCGUUAGAUUAGGUAGUUGGUGGGGUAAUGGCCCACCAAGCCUACGAUCUAUAGCUGGUCUGAGAGGAUGAUCAGCCACACUGGGACUGAGACACGGCCCAGACUCCUACGGGAGGCAGCAGUGGGGAAUCUUGGAUAAUGGGCGCAAGCCUGAUCCAGCCAUGCCGCGUGAAUGAUGAAGGCCUUAGGGUUGUAAAAUUCUUUCGUCAGGGACGAUAAUGACGGUACCUGAAGAAGAAGCCCCGGCUAACUUCGUGCCAGCAGCCGCCGCGG
rnacentral:rRNA from 1 species